rnacentral:rRNA from 1 species
GCCGACUAUGACUAAAGCGAACAAGAUCGCAAGCCAUGUUUUCAUUGGCCAUGAGCGAAAGUCAGAGGUCUGACGAUAGACGAUGCCAGAUGACCGUCCGUGACCAUAAACAUGCCCUGACGAUCCGAUAGCGGGUAGCUUCAUUAACCGUCCUCCACGGGCAGCCUCCGGGGAAACCUUUAAGUUAUGGGUUCCGGGGGAAGUAUGGUUGCAACAGUGAAACUUAAGGAUUGACGGAAGGCACCACCAGGAGUGGCAGCCUGCGCGCUUAAUUUGACUCAACACGGGAAAAUCACCCGGGCCGGACACUGUGGUUGACAGUGAAAGCUCUUUCUUAUUUGGUGGAUUGGUGUGCAUGGCCGCUUCUUAUUGGGGACGCGACUUUCGUCUGUUAAUUCGUCAACUGACGCUCUUGCUAAUCUAGACGCCUUCCUUGUCCUUGGGGCGUUCACCCGCCUCAAUCUGGCCUAUAGCAUGCCGGCGCUGCACUUUGCGGGCCAGG